GUCUUGGUGGCGCAGUUUGGUGGCGCGUCAGUCUCGUGAUCUGAAGGUCGUUAGUUCAAGUCUCAGUCGAGACA
rnacentral:tRNA from 1 species